UACAGAUGUUGCAAAGGUCUUUCCUAAGAUGUGUCCUCUUUCCUAAGGUGUGUCCACUUAAAGCACAUCCACUGCUCAGUUCUCUCUAAAUUGCAUGGGAGUGUGUGUACAUUUCCUUCAUCCUGCAUCUGAGCUCAGGCAGUACUGUACCUUAGGAAGGCUGCGGUAGAGACAGCUGAGCUAAAGCCACAAGCGUCUCUUCUAACUCCCCUCAGUUGGGUACACUUGACAUUUUCUCACCUUCUGUGCCAACAUGAAAUCCCACAGAGAGAGUGUGAGAAUGAGGUUGAGAGUGUUGCGGGAAGGAAACUGACAAGCACUCAGCCGUGGAGACACUGCCGCCAGCAGCGUGGUGAGAGGUCACAGCAGCUCCCCGGUCUCCUCAGCUGCCGGGGCUGUCCAGGCCCUCAGUGGGUACUGUAUUAAGUAUGAAGGAGAGCCUCAUGAAUGUUUGACAUAGAACACAAAGGAAGCCCAGGAGUGAGGUGUGUGGGUGCCAAGAGGAUUGGAAGGACAAAGAAGGAAAGACCACAGAAUGCUCUGGCUACGUGACUUGACAAGUUUUCUGAAAGACAAUCCAUAAUCGUUUUGUUGAUAAGAGAUGGGGGUCUCUUCAAGCUGGCUCUAAAUGGGCCCGUGGUUACAAAGAAUGGGAGGAAAUCAACUUGCAUGCUCAAGUGGAGCAAAGCACUGGGUAAAUGUGCACACGUUGCAGGGCUCUGCUGCUCGCCGGUGGAGCCCCGAGGAGGAGAAUGAAGAUGAGCUUGCCUUCUCGAGCCACCCUAAAGCUGGGAUGGAGCCUUGCAUCGAGUUUCAUGAAGGGAAUGAUGGAGGGAAAGUACGAAGCUCAGGAAAACAGAGCAAAGUUAAGCACGUCCUCAAUCCAUGGCCCCCAAUCCUCACCAUUCUGGGCAAGGCCUUUUCUCCUUUUUUUAACUUUGUUUUAUACAUUUCCUCUUCAUCCCUGGCUCCUCCUUGCCCCAGCCCCAAUACUAAUAUGUGCUUGGACAUGUGUGUAUAUCAAUACACUUGAAAUUUUAUGAUGUUAUAUUGUCUUUGUAUGCAUUUUAAAUAUGUAUGUAUAUAUAUGUGUGUGUGUGUAUAAAAGUAGACUGUGGAAUUCAUUCUUUUUCUUCUUUUUUCACUCAGCUCUACACUUUUUCCAUGUGGUUGAGGAACAAUACUUCACAUUCACCUGUUCAUUCUCCGGUGAUGGACACAGCGAUGGUAGUGAUG
rnacentral:lncRNA from 1 species